rnacentral:rRNA from 1 species
CGGCCGCGUCGACGGCAGCAGUAGGGAAUCUUCCGCAAUGGACGAAAGUCUGACGGAGCAACGCCGCGUGAGUGAUGAAGGGUUUCGGCUCGUAAAACUCUGUUGUUAAGGAAGAAUACUUGAGGUAGUAACUGGCCUUGAGAUGACGGUACUUAACCAGAAAGCCACGGCUAACUACGUGCCAGCAGCCGCGUCGACCGUAGGGUGCGAGCGUUGUCCGGAAUUAUUGGGCGUAAAGAGCUUGUAGGCGGUUGAUCACGUCGGAAGUGAAAUUCCAGGGCUUAACUCUGGGCUUGCUUUCGAUACGGGUUGACUUGAGGAAUGUAGGGGAGAAUGGAACUCUCGGUGGAGCGGUGGAAUGCGCAGAUAUCGGGAACGAACACCAGUGGCGAAGGCGUCGACGCGGCCG